rnacentral:rRNA from 1 species
GUUGCAAUUUUCAGUCUUGAACGAGGAAUUCCUAGUAAACGCAAGUCAUCAGCCUGCAUUGAUUACGUCCCUGCCCUUUGUACACACCGCCCGUCGCACCUACCGAUUGAAUGACUCGGUGAAAAAUUGGGACUGUUAGUCUGAUUGCUUAAUUGCGAGCGGAUUGAUGGGAACUUUUUUUAACCUCGCCAUUUAGAGGAAGGUGAAGUCGUAACAAGGUUUCCGUAGGUGAACCUGCGGAAGGAUCAUUGUCGAU